UAAAACUGUAUGCUGAAACAUGAUAAAGAGCUGGUCAGUUCAAAAGGAAUAUCCUGCAGAGGCCGGAUCAAAAAAAGUGCUGCCAAAAGAGCAGUGUGGUGGGCGAGGGGCUUCUCAACCUCUCAGGGUUUCUACCCCUGGCAAACUCAACGCCUGGUCGUCCUCUCCUUUUCUGCAUUGGCCGCCUUCUUGCCACACCUUUGAUAAGUUAAAUUAAGAAUUGGAAACAGAAGGAUUCCAUGGACCGAUUCUAAAGUUAUUUCUCCUGCG